rnacentral:pre_miRNA from 1 species
AGCACCUGUAAUCCCAGCUACUAGGGAGGCUGAGGCAGGGGGAUCUGCCCACCUCAGCCUCCCAAAGUGCUGGGAUUACAGGUGCU